ensembl:rRNA 5S_rRNA 5S ribosomal RNA
GCUCUUGGUCCUGUUAGCUUGUUAGCACGCCCGAUCUCGUCUGAUCUCGGAAGCUAAGCAGGGUCGGGCCCGGUUAGUACUUGGAUGGGAGACCGCCUGGGAAUGCCAGGUGCUGUAAGCC